rnacentral:lncRNA from 1 species
GCAGCCCCCUGGACGAGCUCAGCAGCAUCUUCAGCUCCGGCCGCCCUGUGCUGCGCAGGUCAGCGGCGGGGCGCAGGAUCCGUGAGGACGGAGGUUUCGAAACUAACCUCAACCUGACCAGCCAGGAUGAUGCCAGUAUAUCAGAAAUGGCUUCAGAGACUCAAGAUAGAAAUGCAAACAGCCACGGGAUUCAAUUUUCAAAUUCACUGUCUGGUGCUAUAACUGCUGAAAAUGGAAAUUCUCUCUCCAACGGUCUCGCUGAGGAGGACGGGUACUCGCGGGUGUGUGUGAGCGGCACAGGGACCUCGACGUUCCAGAGACACCGGGAGAGUCACAGCACUCAGGUCAUCCACCAGCUGCGGCUCUCAGAGAACGAGAGUGCGGCCCUGCAAGAGCUGCUGGACUGGAGGCGGAAGCUCUGCGAGGAGCAAGACUGGCAGCAGGCCCUGGAGCCCCCCGAGCCCCGCGCACCCCCGCCACUGCCCUGCAAGAAGCCCACCCUGCUGAAGAAGCCGGAAGGGGCCCCCUGCAGCCGCCUGCCCCCCAAGCUCUGGGACACCACCAGCUAGGGGCCUGGGCUGCAGACACAGGACACAGUACACUGAUCCCGUCCCCCUGCGUCGAUGAUCCUGCGUGCGUGUGUGUGCGUGUAUUCCUUCUCCCCCGUUCUGUGACUUUCAGGCUCCACGUUGAUAGGGCCACGCUCCCCGCAGGUGGGGACAGAAAGGCUGGGCGCGUGAGACAGGAGGGGCAGCGGCAGGGAGCCAUGACGGAGGUCCCACAAGCUCCUGCGCAGGGCUGUUCCCUGGAGCCCGUCCUCGCCCUGGCUCUGUGAUGCGCCUGUGCACAGACUCGUUUAGUUUGUUUCCCCGUAGGUGUUUGAGUUCCGUUUGAAUUUCAACCGAUAAUUAUUUACAAGUGGAUGACGGUGUUUUGUAACUCGACCUGUCGGUGGUGCUCCCUCUCUCUUCCAAAUACAGAUUUCCAAACGCUACUUAUAGUUUUUUUCCUCCACACGUUGUUUGAUUAACCUGAAGGAUCCAGCCCCAGCGGGACCGUGUUGUUGCUUGGCUUUGCAGUGUCACCUUGGGCCGAGCCCCAUGGUGUCUUAGACUUCACUCAUGGUUGGGAACAGCGCUGUCCCUCCACCGGCCUCUGCUUUUGGGUGAGCAGCUUGUGCGGCCCUUAGCAAAACCCCCACUCUGCCCCCCACCCCCCGGCUUCAGCGUAGGCCCCAGGAAGUUUGCGGUGCUCAGCGACACGUGUAUGGCUUCAGGUUCAUCAGUGGUGGUGCAGAAGGUCAUCCGAGGCCGCAGUGUGGGUGCUGCGCCCCAGGCCGGUCCCCGCCAGUGGCCCCAUAUGACCCUCCCGCUGUGUCCCCGCCUUCCUGUCCCCCAGUGGCUCUGCUUCUGCUUCUCUGUGCAUUUCCGUCCCCCGGGGUCCUCAGCAGUGGCUUCAGACCACCUGUCUUGCUACUCAGAACUUUUUAUUCAUAGCAGCCUUUGGAAUACAACUCUGCCAAUAAAAGGGUGCAGUUCCAUGCUGCCACAGUGUCGUUUGCUUGGUGUUCGGGCUGGUGUCUUGAGCACUGGAGUCUUCUGCUGAGCCAUGUGGGGGCAGCGGAUCCAUCUCAGCC